AAAGAGAGGAGAAUAGCCACGGGGAUGUAGACCAGAGGGGCACAAUACACACCUAGCCCUGGCAGUAUCCUGAAUGCAUAGCUGAGCUGAGGCUGGAGACUGCCCAGAUAUGGGGAUGCCAGGAAAACGUGGUUCUGGGCUGGUGGGCCAGUUCAGCCCAUGCCCCACGUCUGUGACAUGGACAUCUCAGAUUGGCGCAGCACUCUGACCUCAGUGGAGAAGCUUCUCUGUGUGGGGAAUGGAAGUCUAUGUAUAAACUCACAACUGGCCAAAGUGUCAGUGGAGUGCCCAGCAACAAAUGGGGCAUCUCUGUCAGGCUCUGCUUUCCCAGGCUCAGGAACCCUUGCAGAGAGAGGGCAGACAGAGUGUUAGAGCAAGACGUCGGGGAUGCCUGGAGUGUCUCCUGAACAAGACUCUCAGGAACUCACAACAGCUGCGAUUGCCUAUGCACGACCAAGCCGGUCCAUACGCUAGCAAGUUAAGUGAAGAGCUGUUGAUUGACGAUGGCUUCUGGAAGAGGAAGAGUUAGUUUUCUUUAAAGCUGUGACCCCAGUAGGUAAACCACACCCCAGUAAACAGCCCCCCCACACGAGUA